CUCCUGGAACGGGGGGUAAGGCCGGAUGCUCCGCCCCCUCGCAUGGGGGGGUCGGGAAGGCUUUUGCGGAAUGGGAUGGGGUCGCGUCCUAUCAGCUUGUUGGCGGGGCGACGGCCCACCAAGGCUUCGACGGGUAGCCGGCCUGAGAGGGCGACCGGCCACAUUGGGACUGAGAUACGGCCCAGACUCCUACGGGAGGCAGCAGUGGGGAAUAUUGCACAAUGGGGGGAACCCUGAUGCAGCGACGCCGCGUGCGGGAUGGAGGCCUUCGGGUCGUGAACCGCUUUUGAUUGGGAGCAAGCGUGAGUGAGUGUACCUUUCGAAUAAGCACCGGCUAACUACGUGCCAGCAGCCGCGGUAAUACGUAGGGUGCAAGCGUUGUCCGGAAUCAUUGGGCGUAAAGGGCUCGUAGGCGGUUCGUCGCGUCCGGUGUGAAAGCCCAUCGCUUAACGGUGGGUCUGCGCCGGGUACGGGCGGGCUUGAGUGCGGCAGGGGAGGCUGGAAUUCCCGGUGUAACGGUGGAAUGUGUAGAUAUCGGGAAGAACACC
rnacentral:rRNA from 1 species